rnacentral:rRNA from 1 species
UACGAAGGGGGCUAGCGUUGUUCGGAAUUACUGGGCGUAAAGCGCACGUAGGCGGCUUUCUAAGUCGGGGGGUGAAAUCCUGGAGCUCAACUCCAGAACUGCCUUUGAUACUGAGGAUCUUGAGUACGGGAGAGGUGAGUGGAACUGCGAGUGUAGAGGUGAAAUUCGUAGAUAUUCGCAAGAACACCAGUGGCGAAGGCGGCUCACUGGCCCGUUACUGACGCUGAGGCACGAAAGCGUGGGGAGCAACAGG